CAGUUGGCUGCGGGACAGCGGGGCGGUCAGGGGGGCUGAGACCCACACGGGGACCUCAGCCUGAGGCUGCACAGACAGGGUGAGGGUUAUGGCAGCCCCACUCACAUCCCAGCACCAUGACCUUCUUGCGAGUAUCCUCACUCAGGAAGUGCUUGACCAGGUUGUAGGCCACCGGGAAGAUUUUGGGAGCUGGUGAGCAGAGCUGGGUGUCAGGGCAGCCGUCCCAGCACGAUGCCCGGCUGCAUGCCCACACCUUGCUCACCCUUCACGAUGAACAGGCGCUUCAGGGAUUCGGGGUAAUUCUCCUCAAACAUCGACAGGAGCUGCAGGAUAUGGAGAGCUUUGCAUGAACGUCCUGCUGCCCCAACCCCCCCCUGGGGCAGCCCCAUCUGCACGGGCUUUGCACAGCCCCCGGAACCUGGGUCACCCCACAGCGCAGGGACACGAGGGAUGACAUUCUGACCUCAGUGGCCACUGUAGUCCCUGCAAGCCUCACCUCGCCAUAUGCCUCCACCGCUGGCUUCCAGAGGUGCUUCAAGCCCAGGCCCUCACAGUCAUAAACCAUCAGCACCAUUUCGACCUUCUUGCCCAGCUGGGACAGGGACAGAGCGGUCAGGUAGGAUGAUGAGCUCGCAGACCAAGAAGUAUCAGCCACUGCCAAGUCCCUGCUGCCACCUGUCCCCGAUCAGUGCCACCCCUGGGGCACAGGGCAGCCCAGUGACAGUCCCUUUGCCCCCAACAGGCCCAGCAAUUCCCCUGCAGCAUCAGUGCAGGACAACAGUGUGGGUGCUGGGACAGGGAUGUGGGUGGCAGCAGGGACAGUGGUUGGUGGGAUGGGCAGGAUAGGGGCUGGUAGGGACUGAUGGAGCUGGCAGGAAAUGGGCUGGUGACAGUGGGACAGGGGAGGGGUGGUCUUAUGGGCUUGGUGGGGACGUGGAUGUGUGGGGACACCCAGGGAGGCGCCCACCUUCUGGCUCUGCUUCUCACAUUCCUGCCGCAGCAGCUCGCAGUCACGGAACUUGUUCUUGAGCAGGUCCUGCUUGGAGGCAGAGAAGAGCAGCCCUUUGGGGUCCAGCGGCCCGAUGACAUCGUACCAGAUGGGGCUGCCCUCCCGGUCGUAUCCACACAUGCCUCCAGCCAUGUACUUCCUGAUCACCUGCAGGAGCACCGUAAGCUGGGGAUGCCCUCCUGGGCUGGGAACACCCACCACGGGCCAGGGACCCCCACCUCAGGUGCCUCCCAUGCCACGAUGUUGUCGGCAUCCAUGCGUUUGCGGACCUCCACGUGCUGUGAAGGCGAGGCAGAGCGAGCCAUGGUGAGGGCGGAGGGGGUCUCGGGGACACCCCAGGCCCUCGGCCGGGCUCCCCCAGCGCAGGGACCCCCUCACCUUGCGGAGCAUGGCCUCUGACUUGGGCAGGUCGAAGCUGCGUGCUGCGAGAGAGCAGAGAGCGGAGCUCAGCCCCGCGCGGGGCGCAGCCGGGACACCGCCGCUGAACCCGCCGCCCUCUGCCCCGCUGCCAGCUCGCUAAAGUCCAGGUGCAGGCAGCA